UACGUAGGGGGCAAGCGUUGUCCGGAAUCAUUGGGCGUAAAGAGCGUGUAGGCGGCCAGAUAAGUCCGCUGUGAAAUCUCGAGGCUCAACUUCGGGCCUGCAUCCGAAACUGCCCGACUAGAGGUAGGUAGGGGAGAUCGGAAUUCCUGGUGUAGCGGUGAAAUGCGCAGAUAUCAGGAGGAACACCGGUGGCGAAGGCGGAUCUCUGGGCCUUACCUGACGCUCAGGUGCGAAAGCUAGGGGAGCGAACAGG
rnacentral:rRNA from 1 species